CAGCGUAUAUAUUAAAUAAAGUACUUUCAGAAUCUGUUUCUAGCACUCCAUAUGAAAUAUGGAAAAGAAAAAGACCAAAUCUUAAGUAUCUUAAGAUUUAUGGUUGCCUAGCUUUGUGAAAUAUGUUGAUGGACAUAAGCUGGAUGCUAGAUCAGAAAAAUAUAGGUUUGUAGGUUAUUUCAAGAGAGUAUAGGAUACU
rnacentral:lncRNA from 1 species